AGCAGCAUGGCGCAGUGGUAGCGCGCGGGGCCCAUAACGGUCACCCCGAGGUCACUUGAUCGAAACAAGUUGCUGCUA